rnacentral:rRNA from 1 species
UACGAAGGGGGCUAGCGUUGUUCGGAAUUACUGGGCGUAAAGAGCGUGUAGGCGGCCAGGUAGGUCAGCUGUGAAAACUCGAGGCUCAACCUCGAGCUGUCGGCUGAAACCAUCUGGCUAGAGUCCGGAAGAGGAGAAUGGAAUUCCCGGUGUAGCGGUGAAAUGCGCAGAUAUCGGGAAGAACACCCGUGGCGAAGGCGGUCUGCUGGGCCGUUGCUGACGCUGAGGCGCGACAGCGUGGGGAGCAAACAGG